CGGUGGAGCAUGUGGUUUAAUUCGAAGCAACGCGAAGAACCUUACCAGGCCUUGACAUGCAGAGAACUUUCCAGAGAUGGAUUGGUGCCUUCGGGAACUCUGACACAGGUGCUGCAUGGCUGUCGUCAGCUCGUGUCAUGAGAUGUUGGGUUAAGUCCCGUAACGAGCGCAACCCUUGUCCUUAGUUACCAGCACGUUAUGGUGGGCACUCUAAGGAGACUGCCGGUGACAAACCGGAGGAAGGUGGGGAUGACGUCAAGUCAUCAUGGCCCUUACGGCCUGGGCUACACACGUGCUACAAUGGUCGGUACAAAGGGUUGCCAAGCCGCGAGGUGGAGCUAAUCCCAUAAAACCGAUCGUAGUCCGGAUCGCAGUCUGCAACUCGACUGCGUGAAGUCGGAAUCGCUAGUAAUCGUGAAUCAGAAUGUCACGGUGAAUACGUUCCCGGGCCUU
rnacentral:rRNA from 1 species